rnacentral:rRNA from 1 species
ACUCCUACGGGAGGCAGCAGUGGGGAAUAUUGCACAAUGGGGGAAACCCUGAUGCAGCCAUGCCGCGUGUGUGAAGAAGGCCUUCGGGUUGUAAAGCACUUUCAGUAGGGAGGAAGGUAGUGUAGUUAACACCUGCAUUAUUUGACGUUACCUACAGAAGAAGCACCGGCUAACUCCGUGCCAGCAGCCGCGGUAAUACGGAGGGUGCGAGCGUUAAUCGGAAUUACUGGGCGUAAAGCGCAUGCAGGCGGCCUGUUAAGUCAGAUGUGAAAGCCCGGGGCUUAACCUCGGAAUUGCAUUUGAAACUGGCAGGCUAGAGUCUUGUAGAGGGGGGUAGAAUUUCAGGUGUAGCGGUGAAAUGCGUAGAGAUCUGAAGGAAUACCGGUGGCGAAGGCGGCCCCCUGGACAGAUACUGACACUCAGAUGCGAAAGCGUGGGGAGCAAACAGGAUUAGAUACCCUGGUAGCACAGAG